ensembl:lncRNA
UUAUAAUUCCAGGGGUUGACAAAGUAUUUAAUGAAGCAGCUGAGAGUUCUCAGUAGCAGCAACCUCCCAUGCCCUCCUUCUCCUGUCUGUGGGCUCACAUCUAGCCACCCGUGAUGAAGUAGUGCCUGUCCCAAAUAACCAUCACCCCUCAGAACUGAGCCUGGAUAUCAGCCGUGGCCACGAUGGUUCUGUCUCAUUCUGUCACAGAUCGUCUUUAUAAGUCAGACAUGUCAGUGCCAUAAACUGAUGAGAGUCUCACUCUAUCACCCAGACAGGAUUGCAGUGGUAUAAUCUCAGCUCACUGCAAUCUCCACUUCCCGGGUUCAAGGUAUUCUCUUGUCUCAGCCUCCCAAGUAAUUGGGGCUAGAGGCACGCACCACUAUGCCCAGAUGAUUUUUGUAUUUUUACUAGAGAUGAGGUGUAUCCAUGUUGGCCAGGCUGGUCUUGAACUCCUGACCUCAGGUGAUCCACCUCCCUCAGCCUCCCUCCCAUAGUGUUGGAAUUACAGGUGUGAUCCACUGUACACAGCAAAUAUCUUCUUGAGUGCUCUCUUCAGCCCUGGAGAAAUCGAAGGUGUGGAAAGGAUCUCAGACCCGGGAAUCCAACACUGUUACUGUACAGAUAAGAAAUGGAGGCCAAAUAGGAUUAGCAACUUGCUCAGAACUCCACAGCUAAGAAGACUCAGAAUCCAAAUAUGUAUCUUCUGCUUUCUGGCGCAUUGUUCUUUCCUUAAUACCACAUCAUUGGAUAGUCUCACUUUCUCAUGCCUUUCUAGUGUUUUUUACUACAAGAAACACUCGGGGCACACCGUGUGCCAUUAGAGCUCCGCAGAUUUUCCUCAGAGGGCCUUUUGUCAUGUGUGCUUCAUGACUGGAUCCCCCACUGCAAGACUUGGUGGGGGGGUGGAAUUCUGUCACAGGAGGUGACUGUGGCAAGGCUGGUCACUAGAUGUUGAUUUCAAGUAUCCAUCUAAUCAUUCUUUCAAUAAAUAUUUAUUGAGCACCUAUUGUUUACCAGACACUGUUCUAAAUAUCAGGCAUAUAGCAAUGGACAGAACACUGUCUUUAUGGAUUUGACAUUUUCACAUGUCAAUUCCAUGUGAAAAUGGAUUUGACAUGGGAGAGACACACAGUACAUGGGCUAACAGAUAGAUAUAUAAUACAUACAUCGACAUACACAUACAUAUAUAUGUACAAAAUAUAUACAUGUGUGCAUAUAUAGAGAGAUGUAAGAGAUAGAUAAUUUAUAAAUAGGUAGAUAAGUAGAAAAUAAUGAAAGAGAAAUAAGAGAGAGAUGGAUGAUAGAUAAUAGAAAAAGAGAUGAAAAAGAGAUGAAAGAGAUGGACAGUAGAGAGAUAAGAGAUAGAGACAGUUGAUAGAGAUUAAAAGUGUCAAAUGUGGGUAACCUGACAACUCUAUGGAGAAAAAUAAAGCCUGGCAGGGGAUUAGGGAGCUUAGGGAGGGGGUUGCUAUUUUUUUGGGUGCUCAGAAAAGGCCUCAGGGGUAGGGACUCUCUAAUUAGAUGACUGAGGAAAGAGUAAAAGAGAAUCAUGCAACACAUGGGCUUCUGGGGGGCAUACCAAACCACAGCCCCCACGUUUUAAAGGUAUUACUCUGGCUGUUAUGAAAUAGAUUAUGGAACUGCAAACAAAGAAGCAAAAAGUCUAAUUAAAAUGCUAUUGCAAUUCAGACCAAAGUUGAUGGUAGCUUAGAGGUAGCAACGGAGCUAUUUAGCAGUGGUAGGUGUUAGAUCCGUUUUGAAGGUAGGGCCAACAGAACUGGCUGGUGACCAGAAUUUGAGAUGUGAGUGAGAAGGGUCAAAGAGAUGCCCACUGGCCUUCCGAUUGGAUACGUCAGGUAGGCCACUGGAUCUAGGAAUAUGGAGUUCCGGGAAGAGUUUCAGACUACAGAUGUAACGUUGCGACUCAUCAACUUUAAGUGUAAUUUAGCCAAGAAACUGG